AGAGUUUGAUCCUGGCUCAGAACGUACGCUGGCGGCACGCUUAACACAUGCAAGUCGAACGAAGUAGCAAUACUUAGUGGCGAACGGGUGAGUAUAAUGUGGGUAUCUGCCCUUUGGUUUGGAAUAACACGAGGAAACUUGUGCUAAUACCGGAUAAGCCUUCACAGGGAAAGCUUUAGCGCCAAAGGAUGAGCCCGCACUUGAUUAGCUAGUUGGUGAGGUAAUAGCUCACCAAGGCAACGAUCAAUAGCUGUUCUUAGAGGAAGACCAGCCACAUUGGGACUGAGACACGGCCCAAACUCCUACGGGAGGCAGCAGUGGGGAAUCUUGCACAAUGGGGGAAACCCUGAUGCAGCGAUGCCGCGUGAGUGAAGAAGGCCUUUGGGUUGUAAAGCUCUUUCGUCGGGGAAGAAAAUGACUGUACCCGAAUAAGAAGGUCCGGCUAACUUCGUGCCAGCAGCCGCGGUAAUACGAAGGGACCUAGCGUAGUUCGGAAUUACUGGGCUUAAAGAGCUCGUAGGUGGUUAAGAAAGUUGGUGGUGAAAUCCCAAGGCUUAACCUUGGAACUGCCACCAAAACUUUUUAACUAGAGUAUGAUAGAGGUAAGUGGAAUUUCUAGUGUAGAGGUGAAAUUCGUAGAUAUUAGAAAGAACACCAAUUGCGAAGGCAGCUUUCUGGAUCAUUACUGACACUGAGGAGCGAAAGCAUGGGUAGCGAAGAGGAUUAGAUACCCUCGUAGUCCAUGCC
rnacentral:rRNA from 1 species